CCUGGAAGGAUAAAGGUAGAGGCAAAUUAUGGAAAAUUAAACCCAAAAAGAAGAGAAGGAUGCCACUUACAGGACACAGCGUUUGUCCCCUUCAAGGAAGUGAUGUUCUCUGAGAAGCACAGACCUGGCCCUCGCUAGACACUGAACCUGCCGGUGCCCUGAUCUUGGACUUCCUCGCCUCCAAAACUGUAAGAAAUAGGUUUCUGUUCUUUAUCCAUUAUCUAGUCACAGGUAUUUUGUUACAGCAGUACAAACUAAGAAAGUUCCCAGUGAUGUCACCUCUGGGAGCAGCAGUUUGACUUUCUGUGGUGUAAAUCAUGUCAAGUCCUGAAGCAUAUAGCUGUUAUCAUUAUUGACCUCAAAAAUUUCACCCCACUGUGUAAAACGUCUACAUUUGACAAUGAUAGAGGUUAAUAACAUUUAGUGACCAAGAUCCAUCACAACUUCCAAGUUAUAUUAACAUUCAGGAAGAAAAAUGAAGGGAAAGUUAGCUAAAUUUAAAUGUCAAUCUAAUUUGAUUUCUAUAUUAUUGAACAUCCCCUAUGCCAUACAAUGCAACUAGGUUAACUUUUCAAUAUGAUGCCAGUUUUACUACUGAUCCAGCUCUUUUUGAGUGCUCCUUACCUUGUAUUUGAGAAAAGUAAAUACAUGUCAAGAAAAGAGCCAAAGUUUUUCACUGAAUUUAGGUCACAAAGAUUUUCUGUUUGAAAUGACAGAAAGGGAUUUUCAUUUUAAUAUACUUUAUUAUUUAAAAUGCAUUCUAAAAUCCACUCUUUUUGUUUAAAGAGAUGCCCAUGUAGGGAGGGAAAUCUAUAAUUCGUUGGUAUUUACAGAGAAGUUAAUUCUUCAGUAAAAGUGAACUGCAACUGUUACAAAUACAUUCUAAUACCAUUUCCUUUCAGAACAGUAUUUGUUGCUGCCAUUAUUAUUACUACUAUUGCUAUUACUAUUGCUAUCUAGGCAAAUCAAGAAAUAUGAAAAGCAGCAACACAGGGUCAUGACUUUAUGCUCACGAAUCACAUACAUGACGUCUAUGCAGAGAGUGACAGCCCAUGGAAGGAGAUCCUUGGGGCUGCCGGCUGACUCACCACCACCAUUCGCUGACUCACCACCACCAUUCGGUUCUGUGCGUGUCCCCGUCACUGGCUUGAAUGAUGAUUUGGUCAUUGACUCAAUGUAGAGCUGCUGACCCAGAUUUUUAAUUUUGUUCACACUGGCAUAGACCUGCUGCAAGGUCAUCUUAGGGAAAGGAAUGAUAAAAUAUGUUUCAAAAAUUAUAAAAAUGUCCACUAAAAGAUACAUAAACAAAAUACACUUAGCUUCUGUUUCUUUGAAGAUAUAAUGACUGAAGCACAGUAAUCACUUUAAUCCAGUUUCCUGCACCAUGCCACAGUAUACUGGUACCAACAAAUUCUAAAUAAAUCUGUUCACAAUAUGCUAAUUUUUAGAACGCAUACAAUUAAUUCAAAUAUCACUUUCCAAAGGUGAUAUUUUCUUUUUACAGACUUUUUUUUCCAAACCAAAAUGGAUGAAAAUAUCUGUUAUCAGUUGAGGUCUUCAAGUCAGGAAUAUAUACUAAGAUGUCACCACAUUCAGAACCGAGGUAGUACAGAAAACACGAUGCCUGUAUAAGAAUGUGACAUAAGCCCAUGCACCUGCUCCGCCUUCGUCUCCUCCACACGGUGCCCACUGGCCUCACUGGAGGAGGCGAUGCUGACAAGCUGCUCCUGCGACCCGCUGCUCCCCAGGCUCCCGUAGCCGCUGGACACGCUCACGUGAACUGGCUGGAAGGACAAAGAGGAACAAGUCCAGAAUUGCUGGCUGUUCAAAUGCAGCCACCGCAGAGCUCAUCUAGAAUCAUGUAAAAAUUAAGAUGACAAUUCCUGAAAUACUAAAUUAGGUGUGUGCAGGUUGGUACUUUUAAUGCUGAUGCUGACACGAAAGGCACUCCUCUGUCAUUUCGGCAAUUUUCAAGAGCAAGGUCUUAUGUUCUAGUCUAGGUAGGUAUUUCCAGGACAACAUAUUGUUAAAAAGCCAUAGUAUAAUUAAUUUUUUAAAACAGGAAAAUAAACUCUAGUUCUUUAUGCCCAGUUUAGAAUACAGAGAACAAACUAACUAUAUAUUAUACUUUUUCCAAGAACGUGGCAGGUAUUUCAUGCACCCUAGAGAUUUUAUGGGAGACAUUCUGAAAACCACCGAGGACAGUUACUCUACACGACACCAUUAGUUCUAUUUACCACUUAUUCAUUGAAUCUCUUGUAGAAAACACCUUUAGUUAUUUCAACACAUACAUUUUCCCACUUUUACCUUACAAUAGUUAAGAGAAACUGAGACCUACCAUCCCUCUCCUCCCAUCUUUAAAACUGAAAUUAUUUUAAAAAUCCUGAAGCCAAAACCCAAAGGCUGAGCACGCUGGUGCCUUUGGAAUGUAAUAAUUCUCUCAGUCACGUGGUUUGCUGUCUUACAAUGGGUUCUUACAAAAAUAUUCUGUGUAACACAGAAUAAGGAACAAAGAAUAAAAUUUAAUUUAAAAACGAAAA